GGCCAACCGGGAUGGAUGUCUUCAGGAAGAUAGGUUGGGUUAUUUCAAUGUCUUGAAAGUGAAGAGUUUCCUUUAAAUAUGUUUUCUCAAUUAGACUACAGAAAUGGUACAAUAAUUGUCAGCCAUAAGCCAAGAUCCAUAACCUGUCAUGCCUCAGUAUUGACAUCUCUUAAAUUUUAUCUCUGGCAAGAGUUGACAUUCCAAAAGACCAACGUGAUAAAAAUGAGAAUUUGGGAGAUUCUGUGUGUUUUGAGUUUGCCUUUUGAUCUUGGACUACACCUCCCUUUGCUUACUUUGGUUAAGCAAUGUUGAAAUGUUAUGCAACUCAUGAAAUCAACCUAGAAGACGCUGAGCAUGCGAGGAUUUCCUGGCCUUUUUCUCUUCUGAAGUGUUGGCAGCUUAGUGUCUUUGAAGAUCAUACAGAUCUUUUUCCCCAGGUCAUUUUUAGGUGCUUUUCCACAGUUGAUUAAAUGUGGGAGACAUGGCUAAACUCUUUUGCACUUUUGUUUUGAGUAGGGAACUUCUCAGAGCUAAUAAGUUGUAAUGUUUUCAAUGAAUGUUUACAGGAGGCUCCCAAUACUUAGUGUUUAGCCAUAAAACCAUCUAUACCACUCCUGUGCUCAAAUUUACUGGACUAGCAUUCUAGAAAAUAUGCUUAGGGAAAUGAGCAGUAUAAACCCAUUCACUCCUGUUUACAUUUCAAUACCUAAAGCAAAGGCGUGGGCCCUUUCCUGCCCUCCCUCUGUCAUACUUCCCACUUCUUCCAUAACAUCUUCUACCAGUGCUUACCCUCCUUUUUCAAUUGUCAGCACUAGAAGGCAGAAAUGACUUAGUCAUUUUUAAAUACUUCGUUGCCCAACUUGCAUAAUCUUGUUAAGAUUAUGUGUUUACUAAAUUACUGGAUGAAUUAAUAAUAAACCCUCACAACCAUUUGCCUCAUUUCCCCCACAAAGAAAUUGUCCUUUGUGUUCUUUAACAGUGAUUACAUCUAUAAGAAAAUGUUGGUUAGUGUGUCAAACAGCAAGCACACAGCAAGUCUCGGCCAAAUGAUUGUUUCAGUUCCCCUGACUCCCUUUGUUGAUGGAGGCUAUUAUUCUUUUGUGUAUGGUUGGUCACAUUGUCAAAAGGAUUCGUAGUCUUUAUAUUGUGACUGUGUAAACACGAGAUUUGUAAAAUGGGUGUCUCUACAUUUACUGUAUUGUUAGGGGCUUUAAAAAAAUUAUUUUUUCCAGAA
rnacentral:lncRNA from 1 species